CUUAACACAAAUAUUGAGUAUUUCUGAGAAAUAUGGUAGCACUCACAGAACAAGUUGGUGUAGUUUUUAUUUCAUAAAUUUAAACGUAUUGCUUUUAAUUGGUAUUAUUACAAGCAAAAAUAUUCUUUACCCCUUUACAGUAAAAAAGGAGAACUUCAUUUCUGUGUCUGUGGGAACUGAGGUCAAGGUCCACACCAGGUCCAUUUUAUCAAUGCCACAUCAUCACUUACAGGAGCAUGGCAAUGCUGCUCUUUUGUCUGGUAGAAGUCUGGGCCCAGUUCAGGGACCCCAAAAUCCUGCGCUGCAAAGUCGAGUUGGCCAAAGCAACGUACUGAAACCUCUUACACUGGUACAUCGCCCUAGGCCUAAGGAGAUAUUUACAGGACUGUAUCAAGAAGACUCGCAUAGGAUACUGUUCCUACAGGACUCUGUAUCUAAAAGACUGACAUAGGAUACUGUUUUUACAGAACUCUGCAUCAAGAAUACUGGCAUAGGAUACUGUACCUACAGGAAUCUGUAUCAAGAAAACUUCCUUAGGACAGUUCCUACAGGACUCUGUAUCAAGAAGACUGGAUAAGGAGACGAUUCCUCAAGAGACUGUAUCAAGAAGAUGGCCUAAAUACUAUUUAUACGUGAGAACAUCUGAGGUGAGAUUAACAUACCAGCGCUCUCUUUAUGUGAAAUUACCAUUUAAAGGAGAUAUAAUAUGAGAAGGAUACCAUUUGAAGGAGAUAUAUUAUGAGGAUAAAGAAGUUCCUUUAUCAUCAAGAGGAGCAGCGACGAAAAACUACAUGUGCAGCAGGAGGUUAGUGUAUACGUACCACCAGUAAUUUUUUCCCCCCAAAAAAGUUCCUGUAAACCAUAAAAGAUUGAAGUUGCCAUCUGGUCUAAUGUGGAUACAUUUUAUGGAGAUGUGCGUUAGGAACCUUCACUGGUGCUACUGCUCUCCUGUACUACUGCCCAACAGUCAGGAGGAAAAGUGUGAUUUACCACCACAAUCAUGAGGCGUCUUUCUUUAUUCUCUCAAAUGUCACACGAGCUUGUGGAGUUGCCAGCUAGUACAAUAUGGAUAUCAAAUAAGGGCGAAAACGGCAGGAAGGUCAGCGUAGGCAGAUGAUGCUACUGCUCUCCUGUCCACUUCACUAACAUUCCAGUGAAGACGAGUGCUUUCCUACUAUUCUCCUUCUGGUGCCACGACAUAAUACUUCACUGAAAGGGGAACACCCAUUUAUUCAUCUGUAUGCUGAAGGAAGCGUUAGCUACUCAACUCCUGUCGUGGCCUCAACGUGAGAUUAUACGGCCCUAUUGAAAGCUAUCGAACACAAGUUUUCUUUACACUUUCAACUUUAAAAAAAAUUUUAAAGUACCAAAAUGUAACUGUACAAAAUGGAAAA